rnacentral:lncRNA from 1 species
CACCUCAAUAGUCUUGAGACUCUUUCCAGAUUAGAUUCACCCUUAGGAAUGAGAGAGAUGAAUCCUUCCUUGCAAAUGUGUCACACAUCAACCAGAACCCAUGUGACACAGGUCAACAGCCAACCUGACCCUAGGCUGACCAAACGUGAGGGGGUUGACCAAAACUCCCCCUCAAAUCAACAAUCAUGGAAACUCCACACCAAUAUCCAUGCAUUGUACACAAAUGUCUCAACAUGACAUCCACCAUCCCUUACCAGUGGCAAC